rnacentral:rRNA from 1 species
CCCUUAGAUGUUCUGGGCCGCACGCGCGCUACACUGAUGCAUUCAACGAGUCUAAAACCUGCUCUGAUAGGGGUGGGUAAUCUUUUGAAUGUGCAUCGUGAUUGGGAUAGAUGAUUGCAAUUUUUCAUCUUCAACGAGGAAUGCCUAGUAAGCGCGAGUCAUCAGCUCGCGCUGAUUACGUCCCUGCCCUUUGUACACACCGCCCGUCGCUACUACCGAUUGGAUGGUUUAGCGAGAACUUUGGACCGGAGCUCGGGUGGUCAGCAAUGGCCGCCCGAGACAUACUGGGAAAUCGCUCCAGCUUGAUCAUCUAGAGGAAGUAAAAGUCGUAACA